AGUGUGAAUAGAGAAGAUUUUAAAAGUAUCCUCCAAUACCAUGGGUGUUGGAAUUUUGUGUAAUCCUAGUUGUAUUGUCAGCUUCCACAUUUGUUGUUAUACUUGUCAUAAUUAUUUCAGUUACUUCAAUUUGUCAGUUUCUUUGUUCAAUUUCACUACUCAAAAUGGACUCAUACCAAAAAAAAAAAAAAAAACUCCAACUUUGAUUCUUAAACAAGUGGAACAACUAAAUUGAUCAAAGAUUUCAACUUUUCUUCUUCUUGUUUGUUUUCCCCUCUUUUAGUUUUCUUGGACUAGAGGAAUGGUUAUCAGUGGUGUGAAAGCAUCUUCAGUAGCUAUGGUUUCUUUAGACAUUUGCAGCAGGUAUAAUUUUGAUGGUCGCGUUGGAUGUUGGAUUGGGAACGAGAAAGGAAAAUGGAACAAAUUGGCUGCUACUUCUGCAAGUACAAAGGCACCUAAAUUGGGAAUGAGCAUUUUACCUUUGGCUUCCUCUGCUGCUCUAGCAGAAACGCCAUGGUCCUCGCGAGCCAAAUUCUAUAAGGAGGUUUUGAAAGAUGCUAGGGAAAAGUUUACACAGGAGAUAUCGUUUCAGUCCAAGGACAAAGAUAUAUCCCUGGCAAAGGCUUUGCUCUAUGUUGCUUCUGAAGACGAGGCAUUUAUGGAUUUCAACCGGGAAAUGGAUUUUUAUUCACUCCAAAAUGAACGAACAUCUACUUCACUGCCAUCUGAUACACUAGACUGGAAAUGCGUGGAAGCCAUGCCUCUGGCUGGAAAGAAUAUGAGUGAAUGGAUGGCCGAGUUAGAUUCCAUUGCAAGAGAAGUUGAGGCGGAGCUAGUUCCGAGAGAUAUAGGAUGCCAUUUGGUUGAAAUUUUGGAUGCAGUGAACGUUGUUCUUUUUAAGUCGAGGGGUUUUAAAAGGUCAUCUGUGACAGUGGACUCAAAAUGUUCAUACCUGCAUUCAGUGUUAAGCUCUGGACAUUGUAGCGCAAUUUUGCUUAGCGUCAUUUACAUUGAAGUUUGUCGAAGACUUAAUCUAACCAUUGUGGGAUCUCGAAUUGGAGAAGAAUUCCUGAUAUGGCCUCAAACAGGAAACCCUGAGGAGCUAUUCAAGGUUACUUCUGGUCACAGCUUGUUUGGUAUUGUUAACGGGAAGUGCGUUGAUGACCCUAGAUCAAUGGCCUCGGACAUCAAUAGCAAUUCACUGUCAGAGCUUGAGAUUGCAACAAACCGAGAUAUUAUCGGAAUUGCUUUGGCUAAUCUCAUGAGGAUUCAUUGGAAACGUGCGUCAAGAGCAAAUCAUGGUUUGAUGCUGACUUCUCCACUUAGGUCUGUGGAUAAGUCUGACGAGAAGUUUAAGAAGACCGAUGCUUCAACUGUACCUUUGCUGCGGCCUCAAGAUUUGAGGUUCAAGAUGCUAAUAUGCACCAUUUGCCAUGAGAAAAGGAGAACCGCGAAUAAUUUUGGCUACAUACAUUAUUAUUCUCAUUGAUUCUAAUUACUUCCUAUGCUGCAAUAUUGCAUGAGUUUUAAUUCCUCCAUCUGGUUUUUUAGUUAGUCAAGCAUAAUCAGGUUCCCAAAUAUUUGGUUUCACAAAGUGCUUUCCAUAUCUAAACUCGCUGGUCUAUCCAAAUAUCUGUGUUGCUUGAACUCUCCAAAAAUGCCGUCACAUCUGUGUCUUAUUCUCCAAAACUGCACUACUUUUGGAGGAUCCAGCAUAUUCACCCGUUGAUAUUUCUUUGGUCUGCCAAAUAUGUCUAACUUGCACUAAUCUUUAGAUAUGAUUGUUGAGAAUGAAAUCUUUCGAGUUCUCAUCAGUGUUAUAUCCAUGUCCAUUUCUGCAUCCUCAAAUUUCGGUAGUUUGUUUUCAUCAAACAUGGGAUUACCUCGACUUGACAUUUGAUUAUAUGCAUUAUCUUUUUUAUCCGAAAUGUAGAAACAUGCUUGACAAUGUUCCUCAGGUGUUCGUUUUAUUAGUUUAGGCUAGUAAGAACUACUUUUUUUCAGUAGAAGUUUUGUGUGCAAUAUACUUCUCGCCUGUAAUGACUAUAUGUCUGGGAUGGUACCGACUUUCUAGGCUGGCUAUUAUGGCUUCGCAAAGAUUGCUGAUUCUGCAGCCACACAAUUGGGUUCUGAGGAGAGACCACGGCAUGAUGUUGUACUAUAGCAGGGAAUACGAGGAGGCGGUCCAGGAGCUUAGCAUUUGCAUGGUCUUUGCACCAG